GAUGAACGCUGGCGGCGUGCCUAAUACAUGCAAGUCGAGCGAACGGACGAGAAGCUUGCUUCUCUGAUGUUAGCGGCGGACGGGUAAGUAACACGUGGAUAACCUACCUAUAAGACUGGGAUAACUUCGGGAAACCGGAGCUAAUACCGGAUAAUAUUUUGAACCGCAUGGUUCAAAAGUGAAAGACGGUCUUGCUGUCACUUAUAGAUGGAUCCGCGCUGCAUUAGCUAGUUGGUAAGGUAACGGCUUACCAAGGCAACGAUGCAUAGCCGACCUGAGAGGGUGAUCGGCCACACUGGAACUGAGACACGGUCCAGACUCCUACGGGAGGCAGCAGUAGGGAAUCUUCCGCAAUGGGCGAAAGCCUGACGGAGCAACGCCGCGUGAGUGAUGAAGGUCUUCGGAUCGUAAAACUCUGUUAUUAGGGAAGAACAUAUGUGUAAGUAACUGUGCACAUCUUGACGGCACCUAAUCAGAAAGCCACGGCUAACUACG
rnacentral:rRNA from 1 species